UCCUGUUCUUUCCGAAGCUCCGCCUUCAGCACACAGCCCAUCACAACCAGUAAAAUGUGCUGAGCAUGUCGGUCCCUGUAGAGACAAACAGAAGCUGCAGAGACAAUGACAAGAAACCUCAGCAGCAUCACUCUGCUGCUGCUCUGCUGCUGCUAUUGUUCUCUGAGCAGUGAUGUCCAGCAGGAACCACCAUCAAUAUUAGGAACUCUUCAGGGUCCUGCAACAAUCACCUGCAGCCACUCAGUCAGCACAUACAACGUGAUCCUGUGGUACCAGAAGCCGACUGGCGGCUCUGCUCUCAAGUUAGUCGGUCAUACUUUGUAUGAAAGUCCAACAAUGGAGGAUGAAUUCAAAGGUCACUUCAAUAUAAAAGGAGACGGCUCAAAGAAAUCUGAGCUCCAUGUGGAGAAACUGCAGCCAGAAGACAGCAGCAUGUAUUACUGUGCAGCUAGUAGACACAGUGACUCGCUUCAUGUCUCCCCCUCUACAAAAAGUCUGUGUGAUGCAACCUUCUCUGUUACCGAGGGAACCAUCGUUCACCUGCUGAUAACAUAGUAUUCAACAAAACCACAGGGGAGGAGAGGCUGAUCAUAAUGAGAUGUGUAAUCUUACUUUGCCCACUAGAGGGUGGUGUUUUUUCC